rnacentral:rRNA from 1 species
AGUCGAGGGGUAGAAAGUCUUCGGACUUUUGAGACCGGCGAACGGGUGAGUAACACGUAGAUAAUCUGUCUCUGGAUGGGGGAUAGCCCAUGGAAACAUGGGGUAAUACCGCAUAAGUUCUUUCUGCCACAAGGUGGGAAGAGGAAAGGCGCUUAGGGGUCGUCCGGGAGAGGAGUCUGCGGUUCAUUAGUUAGUUGGUGGGGUAAGAGCCUACCAAGGCGACGAUGAAUAGCCGGCCUGAGAGGGUGAACGGCCACACUGGGACUGAGACACGGCCCAGACUCCUACGGGAGGCAGCAGCUAAGAAUCUUCCGCAAUGGGCGAAAGCCUGACGGAGCGACGCCGCGUGAACGAAGAAGGCCUAACGGUUGUACAGUUCUUUUCUUGGGGAAGACUAAGCCUUGCAGGGAAUGGCAGGGUGAUGACGUUAACCGAGGAAAAAGCCCCGGCUAAUUACGUGCCAGCAGCCGCGGUAACACGUAAGGGGGCGAGCGUUGUUCGGAAUUAUUGGGCGUAAAGGGCGCGU